AGCGACGACGAUGACGGUUACACUGAGGCACUAAUGCGGGGCUUUAAAGGAAUAAAAAGGAAAGAGCUGAUGACAGGCUUAGAAAGCAACAGAAGAAGAGACCAAGAUGAAGGAGUCUGAGCUAAUGCGAGGAAACCCGCUGAUCAAUAUGAAUAACUUCUGCUCCUUCGACGUGGAAGUAACAAUGCUGCCUACUAUAUUAUAUUGGUCAUGGAGAGACCAAGACACCGAAACGGUUCAUCAACUACACCGUCAUAAGUGAUUUCCACCGCAAGUUUCUGCAUAGGUA